AUUGAACGCUGGAGGUAUGCUUAACACAUGCAAGUCGAACGGUAACAGGCCGCUGUGAUUUCUUCGGAAUGAACUUGGCGCUGACGAGUGGCGGACGGGUGAGUAACGCGUAGGAAUAUACCUAGUAGUGGGGGAUAACAUGAAGAAAUUCAUGCUAAUACCGCAUACGUCUUACGAGAUAAAGAGGGCCUCUUCUUGAAAGCUCUUGCUAUUAGAUUAGCCUGCGUCGGAUUAGCUAGUUGGUGGGGUAAUGGCCUACCAAGGCGACGAUCCGUAGCUGGUCUGAGAGGAUGAUCAGCCACACUGGGACUGAGACACGGCCCAGACUCCUACGGGAGGCAGCAGUGGGGAAUAUUGGACAAUGGGCGCAAGCCUGAUCCAGC
rnacentral:rRNA from 1 species